rnacentral:rRNA from 1 species
UACGGAGGAUCCGAGCGUUAUCCGGAUUUAUUGGGUUUAAAGGGUGCGCAGGCGGGAUGUUAAGUCAGCGGUGAAAUUUUGCAGCUUAACUGUAACAGUGCCGUUGAUACUGGGGAGCUAGGAUUUGGUUGCUGUGGGUGGAAUGUGUGGUGUAGCGGUGAAAUGCUUAGAGAUCACACAGAAUAUCGAUUGCGAAGGCAGCUCACAAAGCCAAGAUUGACGCUGAGGCACGAAAGUGUGGGGAUCAAACAGGAUUA